GGCAGAUUUGCGAACUUCUUCCAAGAGAAAGAAAGAAGAUGAUCAUCAAGUGAGACUGAACCACGUGCCCACCACAAAACCCCAGAGGCAGUUGCCGGUGGUCAUUCCGCGUGCCUCCUUCCUAACGCCCUAUUUCAACUGGCUCUGCUCCCCGCAAAUACUCUACCAACGCCCUCCAGUAGCACGCCCAGGCCUGCUGCAACUGCUUUCUACCUCAAGCGGUGGCUGCCCUGAAAUGCUUUACUUUCGAUUUUCACCGUGUCGCUGCUGUUCUGUUCAAGAUUAUACGUAAUGGAAGCAGAAUAGUUUGGGGAAAGAUCUGGAGUUGAGAGCCUGAGUGUCUGGCUUAAACCCUUGCUCUGUAACCUGGGACAAAUACUUAUCCAAAAGAUGAAGGUAACCACACUGAUGAGGAAAAAGAAUAAAGUUUCUGAAGUGCUUAAACACACUCAGGAUUGCCUAAGUUUUAU
ensembl:lncRNA